rnacentral:lncRNA from 1 species
UAUUCCCUUGUAUAUUGCUUAGGUUUAGUGUAUCACUUACCUCAUCUCUCUUGAGCCAUAAAAAAAAUCUCAUUCUUCUUUUAUCUUCCAAACACAAUCCAAUUUUCUUCUCUUCCAUACCCUAGCCCAGAUAUGUUAUACGCUUUUGGAAAUCCUUCAUCACCACCACAGGAAACCACUUCCACGCCUUCUAUCAUACCAAUCUCUAAGAAAUGUAGAGUAAAGAUGAUGGCUCGUAAGAUUGUCGCUGAAGGAGAGCAGACCAAGAAAAUAAAUAAGAAAUUGAAAUCAAGUAGGGAAG